rnacentral:rRNA from 1 species
UACGUAGGGGGCUAGCGUUGUCCGGAAUCAUUGGGCGUAAAGAGCGUGUAGGCGGCUAGAUAGGUCCGUUGUGAAAACUCGAGGCUCAACCUCGAGACGUCGAUGGAAACCAUCUGGCUAGAGUCCGGAAGAGGAGAGUGGAAUUCCUGGUGUAGCGGUGAAAUGCGCAGAUAUCAGGAAGAACACCCGUGGCGAAGGCGGCUCUCUGGUACGUGACUGACGCUGAGACGCGAAAGCGUGGGGAGCAAACAGG